rnacentral:snoRNA from 1 species
GCGAGGUGAYRMUGCAUGUAUGAAAAUCUGUCAAUCUCCUGAUGUCAUAAAGUGAUGAUGACUCCUCAUACAUCCUGACAGGCUCUGAUCAC